rnacentral:rRNA from 1 species
CAGCCGCCGCGGGAAUACGUAGGGUGCAAGCGUUAAUCGGAAUUACUGGGCGUAAAGCGUGCGCAGGCGGUUCGCUAAGACAGAUGUGAAAUCCCCGGGCCUAACCUGGGAACUGCAUUUGUGACUGGCGGGCUAGAGUAUGGCAGAGGGGGGUAGAAUUCCACGUGUAGCAGUGAAAUGCGUAGAGAUGUGGAGGAAUACCGAUGGCGAAGGCAGCCCCCUGGGCCAAUACUGACGCUCAUGCACGAAAGCGUGGGGAGCAAACAGGAUUAGAUACCCCGGUAGUCCCUGUCUCUUAUAA